rnacentral:pre_miRNA from 1 species
GCUAGGACGAGGAAGAAAGAGAGGUCCUAAGAGCGGUGAGAAUGAGAACGUAGAGGAAAGCCUAACUAAUUGGUUUGUCAUCUCUUGUGUUGUGGUGGAAAUUUGGUUUGGUAUUUCCCUAUGCCUCUCAUUCCUAUCGUUCUUAUGCGCCGUUCUUAUGCGCUCCUUCCUCUUCCUUUUUGUU